rnacentral:rRNA from 1 species
GUGGGGAAUAUUGCGCAAUGGGCGGAAGCCUGACGCAGCAACGCCGCGUGGGGGAACGAAGGCCUUAGGGUUGUAAACCUCUUUCAGCAGGGACGAAGCGGAAGUGACGGUACCUGCAGAAGAAGCACCGGCUAACUACGUGCCAGCAGCCGCGGUAAUACGUAGGGUGCGAGCGUUGUCCGGAUUUAUUGGGCGUAAAGGGCUCGUAGGCGGUCCGUCACGUCGGAAGUGAAACCCCGGGGCUUAACUCCGGGCCUGCUUUCGAUACGGGCGGACUUGAGUUCGGUAGGGGAGACCGGAAUUCCUGGUGUAGCGGUGGAAUGCGCAGAUAUCAGGAGGAACACCGAUGGCGAAGGCAGGUCUCUGGGCCGAUACUGACGCUGAGGAGCGAAAGCGUGGGGAGCGAACAGGAUUAGAAACCCUAGUAGUCC